UUCUCUUUCAUUCCUCUGUCUCUUCCCCGCGCCGCUCGAUCCCCUUUUCAUUUCGAACACGUAACCCAGAAGGCAACUGAGACUCUGAGAGAGAUAUCCAUGGCGAUUUGGAGCCCCCCCUCGCCGCUCGUUGGUUGGUGGUGACUCGUCGGCGCUCUCCCACCUGCUGCCCCGCUCCCUCCGCCUCGUCGUUGUUUCUCCAGCCCAAGGCCUGCAGCAUCUCUCCGCCCCGCAUCCACCUUGGCACCAUUAUUUCGCCGCUCGUCGGUUUUGUUCGAUUCGAGUCGCCUGAAGCCGAUGACCGAGGAGAUGACAGUCAAUUUGAUGGUUUACAGAGAGGUGUAGCCUUGAGUGUGGUGUGGUAGGCUGACUGCUGUACCCACGCGACAGGGUGUGUGUGCUCUGUAUUUUUUAGCAUGUCAUGCCGUGUGUGAGAGGGUGUUCUGGAUAGUUUUGCCUGAUAAUGUUAGUUAGUUAUUUUUUUGUAGUUUUUGUGUAAUUUAUUUGUUAGGCACUUUAGUUAUUCAGUUGUAAUAUAAUUCUAAACAAACAUAUGGUAAAUGUUACAGCUAUAUAGCUGUUAGAAAUUUAUGCAUAUGCAUAAAGUUCUUUGCGCUUUUACGGCAGUAGUUUUGUAUUUUUAUGAUUUAGUUCAUGUAUUUUUUGUAUUUGUCUGGCUGAUCUUUGUACGGAUCUGCCUUUGGUGUAUGUAAAUAUUCUUUUUUUGUAUUGUUUUACCUUUCUGCCAUUUCUUCUUAGCAUUUGUUCCUUUCUAUGUGUUUUUAUAUAUUUUGGAAAUAGAUUAAAGUAUGGGUAGAAUCAUGAAGGGUCUUGGUAAGGGCUUUUCUUCUGCUUGCUUUGAAGAGUCUGAUGAUUUGGAUGGGGAUCCUUUUGUCCCCAAUGAUUUCGCCGAGGACGAUUCUUUCCAAGCUUCAGAGGAAGGUUCAAUGGAUGAUCCUGAUUUUGACAAAGCUUUGUAUGAUUUCUAUGUGUCGCAUGGAAGCGUGUUGUUGUAAUUAUUGCAUUUUGUUCCAGUUUUCAUUUAUGUUUGUUUUUAUUGUAUAAUUCAUUGCCUGUUUAUAUAUCUUGCAGAAAGCGAAUUGCCUGAAACGGAAGAUAACAGAUGUUGGAGCUCGCAAUGUGAAGCGCACGAGGUCUUCUGAUUUUCCGGUAGCAAAUACAUUCGCUAGAUACUCUAGCAAGUUGUUCUCCACUGUUAUUGUCGGCUUGUCUCCUCGGCAAGUACGUGUUCUUCAGAGAUAUGGGGAAGAUUGCCUUCUCAAAUUUGUGAGGACAGAGGUGCCACUUAGGUUUGUCAAAUGGCUAGCAUCCAAAUUUGAUGUUCGUGCUUCAGUGAUUCAGAUUAGGAAAACGUUUAUUCCGAUUUGCGAAUAUGUCACCCAUGAUAUAUUAGGUCUUCCUGUUGACGGUGAGCCUAUUGUGUCCGAUGCUGAUGCUGGUUGUGAGUUUAUCUUGUCUCAUUUCAAUGUGACUAGCAUCCCACCAGUUUCAUUCUUCUGCAAUAAACUAAAAUCUACCUCUGAAGAAUUGCCCGAUGAAGACAUUUUCA